AUUGAACGCUGGCGGCAUGCCUUACACAUGCAAGUCGAACGGUAACAGGUCUUCGGAUGCUGACGAGUGGCGAACGGGUGAGUAAUACAUCGGAACGUGCCCGAUCGUGGGGGAUAACGCAGCGAAAGCUGUGCUAAUACCGCAUACGAUCUACGGAUGAAAGCGGGGGAUCGCAAGACCUCGCGCGGACGGAGCGGCCGAUGGCAGAUUAGGUAGUUGGUGGGAUAAAAGCUUACCAAGCCGACGAUCUGUAGCUGGUCUGAGAGGACGACCAGCCACACUGGGACUGAGACACGGCCCAGACUCCUACGGGAGGCAGCAGUGGGGAAUAUUGGUCAAUGGGGGCAACCCUGAACCAGCCAUGCCGCGUGCAGGAAGACGGCCCUACGGGUUGUAAACUGCUUUUAUACGGGAAUAAAUCUCGCUACGUGUAGUGAGUUGAAUGUACUGUAAGAAUAAGGAUCGGCUAACUCCGUGCCAGCAGCCGCGGUAAU
rnacentral:rRNA from 1 species